UCUCUGGGAGAGGAGGAUCUGAGAGAAAAGAAGGGCUGAAAAGUGUGGGACAUCAGAACCACUAACUCUUGCAUGAGAGAACAAGAGUGAAGGAUAUAUCAGCACAACUUCUCUGCUCCAACUAGUCUACAUUGCAAAGCAUCUCCUAGUGUCUUUGGAAGAAGGAUCUAUGUGCCCUCAGAUUGAUAAUGAUAAGAACUAGAACUGUGAGGACUGCCACGUGACUGUAUUCCUGAGCGAUACGCAGAAUCUUGUGAAAGACUACUAAAGUGACCAUGUUCCUUAGCGGUACUAGAGUCUGACUGUACAGGUGAAGACUGUACAUGUCUGGUUGUAUCACGGUGAGAGGAUCCGGGGUGUCUGGAGCCAUCUCUUGACUGCUCCCGAGAAGAUCCAUGACGGUUUCUGGAAGCAGACUCAGAUCGCCUCUCAGAGUCCUCUGGGUAUGCCUCACUGUCACUGUCCUGGCUAACACUGGAUCCCUGGCGCCUGCUUCUCCUGGACCCCGCUGAUUCGCCCUGGCCGGACUG
rnacentral:lncRNA from 1 species